rnacentral:rRNA from 1 species
GACGAACGCUGGCGGCGUGCCUAAUACAUGCAAGUAGAACGCUGAAGCGAGGAGCUUGCUCUUCUUGGAUGAGUUGCGAACGGGUGAGUAACGCGUAGGUAACCUGCCUUGUAGCGGGGGAUAACUAUUGGAAACGAUAGCUAAUACCGCAUAACAAUAGGUGACACAUGUCAUUUAUUUGAAAGGGGCAAUUGCUCCACUACAAGAUGGACCUGCGUUGUAUUAGCUAGUAGGUGAGGUAACGGCUCACCUAGGCGACGAUACAUAGCCGACCUGAGAGGGUGAUCGGCCACACUGGGACUGAGACACGGCCCAGACUCCUACGGGAGGCAGCAGGAGGGAAUCUUCGGCAAUGGGGGCAACCCUGACCGAGCAACGCCGCGGGAGUGAAGAAGGUUUUCGGAUCGUAAAGCUCUGUUGUAAGUCAAGAACGAGUGUGAGAGUGGAAAGUUCACACUGUGACGGUAGCUGACCAGAAAGGGACGGCUAACUACGUG